CGCUCACCUCAGUAGGGGCCCUGGGCAUGACUUCACUCACUGAAAAUGUGACUUCCAGGCAGACGUUUUACAGAAAACAACUACUCCAGAGUGGUUUACUCUGACAACAGCACACCAUGAGUGCUGCUGGUUGUGUCACAAUCACAGGCACAUAGGACUUCAGGGAUAUCUCGCUGGUGAAACAGCUCGGUACACUGUGUAUUUCCUUUAUGCUUUUUGCUUUGCAGGAAGGACGCCCAGGACUGACUGGGAUCAGGCGUGCUGUUCUGACCAGAAAGCUUAGGAGGUCAUGUGAUGGUGCCAGUCUAGCAGGCCUAUUGCCAGAAGAAUGGAAGCGGAAGCCAAGCCUUGAAGCACACAGGAGAAGAAGAAUUCCUUUCAGCAUUUUUUUUUCCAAGAACAAGAAACCAAACCAACGCCCUGCUCCUGCCAAGAAACACCCGGGCCACCGAACCAAACCCCCAACCCCCCCUUUCAGCAUUUUUCACAAGUUAAAUAAACUAUGACGUGUUCAGCCUGCUAACGUCUGGGCCCAGUGAGUUCUCUGAAUUAUAUUCCUUUUCGGGGGUGACAGAACCAGCAGCUGGGACAUGAAAAGGGGCACAUAUAGUCAGCCAACUUGCGUCUGAGACAGAGAUAUGGUACCCAGCUACUAAGCAUGGCUCAGGACUUCCUGUUCUCCAAACCUGUUCGCGUUCUUCCCGACACAUUUCCUAGUGUGCUCUGCAAUUAGAUGCCAUCUUAAUAUGACUCCACUAACAGAACGUGAACCAAGGUGAGAUGCACAACUGGAGACCUGCCCAAUAACCUUCCAUUCCUCCACAAGCAAUAUUUGUUUUCUUUCGUAUUCCCCUGGCGUGGCGACAAUAAAUACAGUAACCUGAGAAGCCACAGGUUCAAAACAGCAGAAUCACAAAAAAAAAUAAGGAUGAAACCCCUAAAUCUUCACGUGAAGUGCCAUCAUUGCCAGUAAGAAAUACCUGCUUUGCAUGUUGUGUUAGUGAGAAAUAAACACCUUCGCAUUAAACCUUGACGUUGGUAUCUGUGUUCUACAACAGUAGCCUCCCACUCACUGAUUCACACACACGUGGAGAAAGACUCCUGGGAAUUAGAGCUGAAAAG
rnacentral:lncRNA from 1 species